rnacentral:lncRNA from 1 species
GAAGUGAUGAAUAAAGAUGCCUACAGAAAAGUCUGUAGUCCUUGUCAAGGUUAUUGGAUUGGAUUGUCUUUUCUGUAGUUGUAGCUAAGUGCUAAAUGUGGUCAUGAGGUGACCCCGUUUUAUUGAAAACAAUCCACUACCUAUAUGUACUGUGAUUGCUGGUCGAUUCCUGCAUAGCAUUUUAAUGUCUAUGUUUGUGUUCUUAAAAUAAAUAUACAACUUAAGAUCUUAAAACUUUUAGUUAUUUUUGUCUUUAAAAAUGAUCAAAAUAAUGUUCAUUGAUCACGCUCUAACAAGAUUAUCACUAGAUGCUUAAUGGACAUUCUAGAAAGUCUACUUCCCCUUUUCUAUUAGCUUUUUUUUUCGAAUUAAAUACUAUCUUUAUUCUCCUAGUACUUUGUGAACUUGGAAAUGGAUAACAGAAUAGAGACCAAAUAGCACAUUCUAAAUAAAUCAUGUCACAUUUAAAAAAUCUGAUCAAAAAAUUCCAAUGCUUCUUGAAAAAGUGGUUGAAAUAUUUUACAUUUAAUCUACUGUAAUCUUGCCACUUAAUCUGACCGGUGAGAUCAUUGGGAAACAGAUAUAUAAAUUUUCAGUAUAUUAUGGACUGACAUAUGAGACUGCGGUUCUACCUCGUCAUCCAGUUUUAUUCUUACUGAGCAUCUUCUAAUACUCUUAGAAGAAGUUAAUUUAUUUAGAUUGAGAAAUAGAAAGUGUACUGGCUCAGGAAUGACCUCAACUUAGUUUUUUUUUCCCUUAAAACUAUUCUGAGAAAAUAUAUAACUGAACAUGUAUCUUUUGAAUGACAAUACUUAUUUAUCUGGGUUGAGGGGAGAGAAGCCUGCUAGAGGAGCCAUCAUGCCCUUUUGAACUUUGAAUUUCCCUGAGGAUGCAUAUCACAGAUUGGUGUAGAUUCAGGGAUUCUAAACAAUUUGGGUUCUACUUCCCAAUACUAACUUCAA